rnacentral:rRNA from 1 species
UACGGAGGGGCGAGCGUUAUUCGGAAUUAUUGGGCGUAAAGGGCGCGUAGGCGGCUGUACAAGUCAAAGGUGAAAUCCCUCCGGCUCAACUGAGGAACUGCCUUUGAAACUGUACGCUUGAGGCCGGGAGGGGGUAGCGGAAUUCCCAGUGUAGCGGUGAAAUGCGUAGAUAUUGGGAGGAACACCAGUGGCGAAGGCGGCUACCUGGACCGGUUCUGACGCUGAGGCGCGAAAGCGUGGGGAGCAAACAGG